rnacentral:rRNA from 1 species
GACAGAGGGUGCAAGCGUUGUUCGGAAUCACUGGGCGUAAAGCGCGCGUAGGCGGCCACGUAAGUCGGAUGUGAAAGCCCGGGGCUCAACCCCGGAACUGCAUCCGAAACUGCCUGGCUUGAGUCCCGGAGAGGGUGGUGGAAUUCCUCGUGUAGCGGUGAAAUGCGUAGAGAUGUGGAGGAACACCGAUGGCGAAGGCAGCCUCCUGGGCCAACACUGACGCUCAUGCACGAAAGCGUGGGGAGCAAACAGG